UCCUGAAUUCAGCGGCGGACGGGUGAGUAAUGCCUAGGAAUCUGCCUGGUAGUGGGGGACAACGUCUCGAAAGGGACGCUAAUACCGCAUACGUCCUACGGGAGAAAGCAGGGGACCUUCGGGCCUUGCGCUAUCAGAUGAGCCUAGGUCGGAUUAGCUAGUUGGUGAGGUAAUGGCUCACCAAGGCGACGAUCCGUAACUGGUCUGAGAGGAUGAUCAGUCACACUGGAACUGAGACACGGUCCAGACUCCUACGGGAGGCAGCAGUGGGGAAUAUUGGACAAUGGGCGAAAGCCUGAUCCAGCCAUGCCGCGUGUGUGAAGAAGGUCUUCGGAUUGUAAAGCACUUUAAGUUGGGAGGAAGGGCAUUAACCUAAUACGUUAGUGUUUUGACGUUACCGACAGAAUAAGCACCGGCUAACUCUGUGCCAGCAGCCGCGGUAAUACAGAGGGUGCAAGCGUUAAUCGGAAUUACUGGGCGUAAAGCGCGCGUAGGUGGUUUGUUAAGUUGGAUGUGAAAUCCCCGGGCUCAACCUGGGAACUGCAUUCAAAACUGACAAGCUAGAGUAUGGUAGAGGGUGGUGGAAUUUCCUGUGUAGCGGU
rnacentral:rRNA from 1 species